UACGUAGGUGGCAAGCGUUGUUCGGAAUUAUUGGGCGUAAAGCGCGCGUAGGCGGUUUUUUAAGUCUGAUGUGAAAGCCCACGGCUCAACCGUGGAGGGUCAUUGGAAGCUGGGGGACUUGAGUACUGGAGAGGAGAGUGGAAUUCCAUGUGUAGCGGUGAAAUGCGUAGAUAUAUGGAGGAACACCAGUGGCGAAGGCGGCUCUCUGGCCAGUAACUGACGCUGAGGCGCGAAAGCGUGGGGAGCAAACAGG
rnacentral:rRNA from 1 species